GGCCGGUUAGCUCAGCCAGUUGAGCGUAGCGCUAACAACGCUAAGGUCGUGGGUUUGAUUCCCGUUUGGUCCC
rnacentral:tRNA from 1 species